rnacentral:lncRNA from 1 species
GUCCUUAGAACACUGUCAUUAAGGGCUGAGAGUUGAAGAUACAUUAGAUAAGAAAAUAGCAGACAGAGACCCUGAAGCACUUUAAGAAACCUCAGUCUGCGGGAAAUCCUCGUCUUGGCUCCAAUCAUCAGAAAACCUGUUCUUUACCACAGGUCCCUUCGUCUCAGAAGUGACUUCAGAUUGUAGUCAGAGAAGCAGAUCUAAGGGGACACAGAAAACGUGUCGGUGGGGCCGGCCCAUGGCUGAAUGGUUAAGUUCACACGCUCUGCUUCGGCGGCCCAGGGUUUUGCUGGUUCGGAUCCUGGGCGCAGACAUGGCACCGCUCAUUAGGCCAUGCUGAGGUGGCAUCCCACAUGCCACAACUGGAAAGACCCACAACUAAAAUAUACAACUAUGUACUGGGGGGAUUCUGGGAGAAAAAGCAGAGAAAAGAAAAAAGAAGAUUGGCAACAGUUGUUAGCUCAGGUGCCAAUCUUUAAGAAAAAAAAGAGAAAGCGUCAGCAAUACAGUAU